GGGGCAUUAGCUCAGUUGGUAGAGNNGAGGUCAGCGGUUCGACCCCGCUAUGCUCCACCA
rnacentral:tRNA from 1 species